rnacentral:rRNA from 1 species
UGGGGAAUUUUGGACAAUGGGCGAAAGCCUGAUCCAGCAAUGCCGCGUGUGUGAAGAGGCCUUCGGGUUGUAAAGCACUUUUGUCCGGAAAGAAAUCCUUGGCUCUAAUACAGUCGGGGGAUGACGGUACCGGAAGAAUAAGCACCGGCUAACUACGUGCCAGCAGCCGCGGUAAUACGUAGGGUGCAAGCGUUAAUCGGAAUUACUGGGCGUAAAGCGUGCGCAGGCGGUUUGCUAAGACCGAUGUGAAAUCCCCGGGCUCAACCUGGGAACUGCAUUGGUGACUGGCAGGCUAGAGUAUGGCAGAGGGGGGUAGAAUUCCACGUGUAGCAGUGAAAUGCGUAGAGAUGUGGAGGAAUACCGAUGGCGAAGGCAGCCCCCUGGGCCAAUACUGACGCUCAUGCACGAAAGCGUGGGGACAAACAGGAUUAGAUACCCUGGUAGUCCACGCCCUAAACGAUGUCAACUAGUUGUUGGGGAUUCAUUUCCUUAGUAACGUAGCUAACGCGUGAAGUUGACCGCCUGGGGAGUACGGUCGCAAGAUUAAAACUCAAAUGAAUUGAC